GGAGAGGUGCUCGAGUGGUUGAAGAGGCACGCCUGGAAAGCGUGUAUACCCCUAAAGGGUAUCGCGGGUUCGAAUCCCGCUCUCUCCG
rnacentral:tRNA from 3 species